GUCUGAUGUUUCGGAUUUUAGCUUGUUUCGGUUAAAGCCGGCUUGUUUGUGCUUUGCUGCUUUUACGUUAACUAUGUGAUGAUUUACUGUGAAAUGAUGGAUUAAAAUUUGGUUUCAUUGUCAAAUCUGAUAAAUAAAAAAAGGCAUGGUUUCGUUGUGAAAUCUGAUAAAUAAAUAAAAAGCAUGGUUUCAUUGUGAAUGGGUUGACGUCACUAUAAUGUAACAUUUUGAAUUACUAGUUUUGUGUUGUUUGUUCUAGAAAUGAGUUUUUAAUGUAUUGCAAUUUUUUUUUUUGGUCCGGUUCAAUUUUUGUGGUCUGUUGGUUGGUUUCCUAGUUUCACAAUUAGGAUUCUGGUUGAGAACAUUAUGUAAACAAGGGAAUUAUUUUGCUCUUCUGCUGUGAGUUAAGUUUUAAGUUGAGUUAUGGUGGUAAUCUGUUGCAUAAUAUGUUAGCAUCAGAUAGUGAUUAUAAAAUGUUCUGAAUCCAUUUAUUUUUCUUCUCACAAAUUUUGUCCCAACUCUCGUAGUUCAAUGCACACAGUUGCAUGUAUUUAGUUUUUUGAGUCCUGAUGAAAAAAGGCAGGCCUUUGUUCCCAUAUGUGAACUGGGCUCUCAUAAACUUCAGGUAGAUCACUUACAUUGUUUUUGGGUGAACCUCUGUACGUGCAUCAGUUGCAUGUGACUUAAGGUUCAGUAAAUGAUGGAACAUUUGCGCGUAUGAAAUAUUAUUAGUUUUUUGAAACCUGAUUAUAAAAGCAGGGCUUAGUUGCCUUAUGUGAACUGAGCUCCCGUAAACUUCAGGGACAUUAACUGCAUUGUUUUUGGGUGAACCUUUGUACGUGCAUCAGUUGCAUGUGACUUAAGGUUCAGUAAAUGAUGGCACAUUUGCA
rnacentral:lncRNA from 1 species